CUACGGAGGGUGCAAGCGUUACUCGGAAUCACUGGGCGUAAAGCGCGCGCAGGCGGGCUGAUAAGUUGGAUGUGAAAGCCUACGGCUCAACCGUAGAACUGCAUCCAAAACUGUCAGUCUAGAGUGUGGGAGAGGAAGAUGGAAUUAGUUGUGUAGGGGUAAAAUCCGUAGAGAUAACUAGGAAUACCAAAAGCGAAGGCAAUCUUCUGGAACACUACUGACGCUGAGGCGCGAAGGCGUGGGGAGCAAACAGGAUUAGAAACCCUUGUAGUCC
rnacentral:rRNA from 1 species